GAUGAACGCUGGCGGCGUGCCUAAUACAUGCAAGUCGAACGAACAGACGAGGAGCUUGUUCCUCUGACGUUAGCGGCGGACGGGUGAGUAACACGUGGAUCACCCACCUAUAAGACUGGGAUAACUUCGGAAAAACGGCGAUAAUACCAUAUCAUAUAUUGUACCGCUUGAUUCAAUAGAGAAAGACGGUUUUGCUGUCACUUUUAGAUGGAUCCGCGCCGCAUUAGCUAGUUGGUAAGGUAACGCCUUACCAAGGCAACGAUGCGUAGCUGACCUGAGAGGGUGAUCGGCCACACUGGAACUGAGACACGGUCCAGACUCCGACGGGAGGCAGCAGUAGGGAAUCUUACGCAAGGGGCGAAAGCCUGAUGGAGCAACGCCGCGUGAGUGAUGAAGGUCUUCGGAUCGGAAAACGCUGUUGUUAGGGAAGAACAAAUGUGUAAGUAUCUAUGCACGUCUUGACGGUACCUAAUCAGAAAGCAACGGCUAACUACGUG
rnacentral:rRNA from 1 species